rnacentral:rRNA from 1 species
GAUGAACGCUGGCGGCGUGCCUAAUACAUGCAAGUCGAGCGAACAGACGAGGAGCUUGCUCCUUUGACGUUAGCGGCGGACGGGUGAGUAACACGUGGGUAACCUACCUAUAGGACUGGGAUAACUUCGGGAAACCGGAGCUAAUACCGGAUAAUAUUUCGAACCGCAUGGUUCGAUAGUGAAAGAUGGCUUUGCUAUCACUUAUAGAUGGACCUGCGCCGUAUUAGCUAGUUGGUAAGGUAACGGCUUACCAAGGCAACGAUACGUAGCCGACCUGAGAGGGUGAUCGGCCACACUGGAACUGAGACACGGUCCAGACUCCUACGGGAGGCAGCAGUAGGGAAUCUUCCGCAAUGGGCGAAAGCCUGACGGAGCAACGCCGCGUGAGUGAUGAAGGUCUUCGGAUCGUAAAACUCUGUUAUUAGGGAAGAACAAACGUGUAAGUAACUGUGCACGUCUUGACGGUACCUAAUCAGAAAGCCACGGCUAACUACGUG